rnacentral:rRNA from 1 species
AGUGAACGCUGGCGGUAGGCCUAACACAUGCAAGUCGAACGGCAGCACAGUAAGAGCUUGCUCUUACGGGUGGCGAGUGGCGGACGGGUGAGGAAUACAUCGGAAUCUACUUUUUCGUGGGGGAUAACGUAGGGAAACUUACGCUAAUACCGCAUACGACCUACGGGUGAAAGCAGGGGAUCUUCGGACCUUGCGCGAUUGAAUGAGCCGAUGUCGGAUUAGCUAGUUGGCGGGGUAAAGGCCCACCAAGGCGACGAUCCGUAGCUGGUCUGAGAGGAUGAUCAGCCACACUGGAACUGAGACACGGUCCAGACUCCUACGGGAGGCAGCAGUGGGGAAUCUUGGACAAUGGGCGCAAGCCUGAUCCAGCAACGCCGCGUGAGUGAAGAAGGCCUUCGGGUCGUAAAGCCCUGUUGUUGGGAAAGAAAAGCAGCAGGUGAAUACAUGGAUGUUUUGACGGUACCCAAAGAAUAAGCACCGGCUAACUUCGUG